GAACUCCCAAAGUCCCAUCAUUCUACAGGAAUCAGAUUGAUGUCAUCUAAACCUCAGCAUAUGCUUUUCGUUAAUGAUGGAAAGUUUCUUUCUCAUCACCAAAGGAGUUUAUGAGAGACCUAAGGGUCAAAGAAAUGGCAUUCAGCGGGUGGUCACGCUCUGUCCACAUUCCCGCUCUUCCAGAGGGCAGUGGCACUGGUGAUCAUUAAAAACAACAUCACCCUUCAAAACUGUGACAACUUCUUCCUCUAAUAGCCUGAAUCAGUGUCCCCAGAGAUAUCAGGUCUCCGUCUCUACAACUGGGGAAUGUGACCUGAUUUGGAGAAGAAAUCUUUGCAGACUGUCACCUUCAGAACUCAGCCUUGUCUGAAAAUCCAUCCAGUCAAGAUGAAAAACCACCUGAUGGAGUCACCAGUUACCUGAGGAAGGGGACACAGCCAUAGGAGAUGGAGCUGAGACGUGGCCUCACCUACCCCUUUCAUUAAAGGAGAUAGGACUCAAAGGGAUCAAUUUUACCGUGGGAAGCAGCCCAGGGACCAGAGCCCUGUUUGCAUGGCAGGUAGAGAGAGAGAGAAUUGUUUAUGAGUAACUGUCUCCCAUGAUAAUGGAGACCCAGAAGUCCCACCGUCUGCCAUCUGCAAGCUGGAAACCCCUUCCUACUUGCUCACCUGGAGAAGAGAGAACUGAAAGUGACUGGUCCGUGUCCCAGGAUACUUCGCAGCUGGGAUUGUCCCCUGAGCCAGAUUCCUCCAGGUGAGCAAAAGACAAGAAGAUUCGGGCUUCCCAGAAGUGGAAUCACGCAGGUGUUCCUACUUGAGGAGAUUUCUUCCCGGCGGGGAGUGAGAGAUCCAGGUUCCUGGCCAAACUGGUCCUCUGCCAUCUUCGACACCUGCCUCCCAAGGUACCCCUGUUUUCAUUUAUUGGUUUGUUGCUGUUGGUGUUGUUUGUUGCCGUUGCUUCGGUGCCGCACAGCUGAAAGAGAGAAAACAC